ACGGCGAGUGAAGCGGGACUAGCUCAGGAUGUAAAUCUGCGCUGCAAGGCGCCGAAUUGUGGUCUGAAGACCUUGACGCUAUCUGCCGGGUUAAGUUCCUUGGAAAAGGACAGCUUAGAGGGUGAGACUCCCGUCCGCCUGGCAGAGUGAGUCAUGUGUCUACGAGUCGAGUUGUUUGGGAUUGCAGCUCUAAUUUGGUGGUAAAUUCCAUCUAAAGCUAAAUAUUGGUGGGAAACCGAUAGCGUACAAGUACCGUGAGGGAAAGAUGCAAAGAACUUUGAAAAGAGAGUUAAAGAGUACCUGAAAUUGCUGAAACGGAAGCGAAGGAAACCAGUGUUUGUUGGUUCAUAUUUCCCUGGCCACUUGUGGUUUGGGCGCUGUGAGCUUGCGUGGGUUUGCUUUGGUUGAGUCCUUUGGAAGAGCGCAGUCAGAGUUGAUGUCUGUUGCUAGC
rnacentral:rRNA from 1 species